GAUGAACGCUGGCGGCGUGCCUAAUACAUGCAAGUCGAGCGAACGGACGAGAAGCUUGCUUCUCUGAUGUUAGCGGCGGACGGGUGAGUAACACGUGGAUAACCUACCUAUAAGACUGGGAUAACUUCGGGAAACCGGAGCUAAUACCGGAUGAUAUUUUGAACCGCAUGGUUCAAAAGUGAAAGACGGUCUUGCUGUCACUUAUAGAUGGAUCCGCGCUGCAUUAGCUAGUUGGUAAGGUAACGGCUUACCAAGGCAACGAUGCAUAGCCGACCUGAGAGGGUGAUCGGCCACACUGGAACUGAGACACGGUCCAGACUCCUACGGGAGGCAGCAGUGGGGAAUCUUCCGCAAUGGGCGAAAGCCUGACGGAGCAACGCCGCGUGAGUGAUGAAGGUCUUCGGAUCGUAAAACUCUGUUAUUAGGGAAGAACAUAUGUGUAAGUAACUGUGCACAUCUUGACGGUACCUAAUCAGAAAGCCACGGCUAGCUACGUG
rnacentral:rRNA from 1 species